rnacentral:rRNA from 1 species
CUUAGCACAGGUGCUGCAUGGCUGUCGUCAGCUCGUGUCGUGAGAUGUUCGGUUAAGUCCGCUAACGAGCGCAACCCUCGUCGUAUGUUAUAUGUGUCAUACGAGACUGCCGGUAAAAGCCGGAGGAAGGUGAGGAUGAUGUCAAGUCAGCAUGACCUUUAUAUCCAGGGCUACACACACGCUACAAUGGUCUGUACAGUGGGUAGCCAAGCUGCGAGGCGGAGCCAAUCCUGAAAGCAGGCCUCAGUUCAGAUUGCAGUCUGCAACUCGACUGCAUGAAGCCGGAGUUGCUAGUAACCGCAGGUCAGCAAUACUGCGGUGAAUACGUUCCCGGGUCUU